AUUGACAGGAUGAGAUGAACGAGCUCCUCCUGAACCUUCAUUUAGAGCCUCAUUUAAAUACAGAAUGAGUUCAUUUGCAUAUUGAUCAGAUGCUUCAGUGCUCUGAGAGUGUUUAUAGUGCUGUGAGUUUAACACUUCAUCACUGACACACACAACAAUCUUCAUCAACAUGACCUUCAUCAUCAUCUUCAUCUGGACUCUCACAGCGUUUGCUCAAGAGUGUAGAGGACAGAUCACCGUCACUCAGAGUCCCUCAAUGACAGCAGCUCAACCAGGACAAACUGUGAACAUCAACUGUAAAACCAGCAGUAGAGUGUAUGGUGGUGAUUGUUUAGCCUGGUACUUACAGAAACCUGGAGAAGCUCCUAAACUCCUGAUUUAUAGUGCAAAAACCCUCCAGUCAGGAACUCCAUCUAGAUUCAGUGGCAGUGGAUCUAACAGUGAUUUCACUCUGACCAUCAGUGGAGUCCAGACUGAAGAUGCUGGACAUUAUUACUGUCAGAGUUAUCACUACAUCAACAGUAAAUAUGUGUUCACACAGUGAUAAAGAGUCGUACAAAAACCUCCGUCAGUCAGAGUCACAGUGACUGAACUGAUACUGCAGCUGCUCACACACUUUCACACACUUUCACACACUACUGACACACAGAGGACAAACACAGGAACUACACAUGUGCUCAAAACUGACUUAUGACUGAAAUCAGCUCUAUUAGACUGUGAUCUGUCCUGUGACAGACGGGUUUGACUCAAAUAUGCUCAGAAUCAGAGAAAACAGAGUGUGUAAAUUG